rnacentral:lncRNA from 11 species
UAGUGCCUCACGUCUUUGCACGCAGACGUUUACAUGACACCAAAGGAAAUUUGGAUUGCAGCCAACAUAUUUAACAUUGUUGGGUGCCUUCUGCUGGUCCUCCACAUAUCUCCUCAAAACACCAUUCAUCCUGAAAAACAUUUAUCAAGGAUUAAUUUGCUAUAAAUUUGCAGCAGUGCCCUCAUUUUACCGAACUCCCUGGCAGGAUGUAGAUUGUCCUUCUGUCAAUGAGUUAAGGAAUUGUGAUGAAAGCAGCACCGAAGAGGAGGAUGGAGAAAAAGGGGGCGCCAUGUCAUGGAACCAAGUCCCAGGGCUGAAUUUCCAAGCCCUGGACUUGGAGUCAUAACAUAAAUAAUUCCGGAUGUCUCAUGGAGCACCUGGCAGAAGAAGAUAGAAGAGCCUGGGAACUUGGGGUUGAAAGUAUAAACAAUUAUAAUUGGUAGAACGUGUGGGAAUAAUAGUAAUGUGAUACAGGGGGUGGGAUUUGGUGAUGAUAUUUACGUGUGGUGUGACGUUACGACAGAGGUGAUAAAAAUGAUUGUAUGUAAACAUUAGGUCAUUCCCGACUUUUCCAAAGUCAUGUAUUCUUCAAUAAAGAUUGGAUUUGAGAGCAG